UCAGUACAAGCCGAACUAAGGUGAAACCGCAAAAGGCUCAUUAAAUCAGUUAUGGUUCCUUGGAUCGUACAAUCCAUUACUUGGAUAACUGUGGUAAUUCUAGAGCUAAUACAUGCAAACAGAGUUCCGACCAGAAAUGGGAGGAGCGCUUUUAUUAGAUCAAAACCAAUCGACGUCCGCAUGCCUCCGGGCCGGCGGCGCCGUAUCCCUUGGUGACUCUGAAUAACUUUUGGCAGAUCGCACGGUCUCCGAACCGGCGACGCAUCCUUCAAAUGUCUGCCUUAUCAACUGUCGAUGGUAGGUUCUGCGCCUACCAUGGUUGUAACGGGUAACGGGGAAUCAGGGUUCGAUUCCGGAGAGGGAGCCUGAGAAACGGCUACCACAUCCAAGGAAGGCAGCAGGCGCGCAAAUUACCCACUCCCGGCACGGGGAGGUAGUGACGAAAAAUAACGAUACGGGACUCAUCCGAGGCCCCGUAAUCGGAAUGAGUAUACUCUAAAUCCUUAUACGAGUAUCAAUUGGAGGGCAAG
rnacentral:rRNA from 1 species